AGAACUUACAGUUGGUUUAACAGCAUUUGGACUCCCAUAUGCAACACAAGGAUCUUUGCCUAAAACAGUAUUGCCCACACACCAUCCGCCUGGAGUAAACCGCCCAUCCGAUCUCCUCAAAAGUUUUUCAUCAAUUUUGUUGAGAACUGGAUCAUCCUUAGCAAAUUCACGAGCAAAAGGGGCACCACUUUCAACCAUUUCUUCAAAAUGUUCCAAAGCUAGAGAUAUUGGACGUUGCUUUGGAGGGUUAUCCCACUUUAUGUAAUGCAAGUCAUUAUUUACAGUAGUGUUUUGAUAAUCCUUGUGAUUGCACACAAGGGUAUGGAAAUAACCCUCUGGUGAUGACAGGAAAUUUGCAUAGUACAUGAGGAGAGUGCGGGGAAGAUUAUC
rnacentral:misc_RNA from 1 species